GAUGAAGAACGUAGCGAAAUGCGAUAAGUAAUGUGAAUUGCAGAAUUCAGUGAAUCAUCGAAUCUUUGAACGCACAUUGCGCCCGCCAGUAUUCUGGCGGGCAUGCCUGUUCGAGCGUCAUUUCAACCAUCAAGCCCCCGGGCUUGUGUUGGGGACCUGCGGCUGCCGCAGGCCCUGAAAAGCAGUGGCGGGCUCGCUGUCACACCGAGCGUAGUAGAUUUUAUCUCGCUCUGGGCGUGCUGCGGGUUCCGGCCGUUAAACCACCCUUUUAACCCAAGGUUGACCUCGGAUCAGGUAGGAAGACCCGCUGAACUUAAGCAUAUCAAUAAGCGGAGG
rnacentral:misc_RNA from 1 species